rnacentral:rRNA from 1 species
AGUGAACGCUGGCGGUAGGCCUAACACAUGCAAGUCGAACGGCAGCACAGUAAGAGCUUGCUCUUACGGGUGGCGAGUGGCGGACGGGUGAGGAAUACAUCGGAAUCUACUUUUUCGUGGGGGAUAACGUAGGGAAACUUACGCUAAUACCGCAUACGACCUACGGGUGAAAGCAGGGGAUCUUCGGACCUUGCGCGAUUGAAUGAGCCGAUGUCGGAUUAGCUAGUUGGCGGGGUAAAGGCCCACCAAGGCGACGAUCCGUAGCUGGUCUGAGAGGAUGAUCAGCCACACUGGAACUGAGACACGGUCCAGACUCCUACGGGAGGCAGCAGUGGGGAAUAUUGGACAAUGGGCGCAAGCCUGAUCCAGCCAUACCGCGUGGGUGAAGAAGGCCUUCGGGUUGUAAAGCCCUUUUGUUGGGAAAGAAAAGCAGCAGGUUAAUACCCCGCUGUUCUGACGGUACCCAAAGAACAAGCACCGGCUAACUUAGUG